CAGAGGUCGCACAAUAAGAAGUCAAAUGUUGAUUCCAGCCAAAAGUCAUUUCUACACUCUAGCCCUUAGUUUCUCAAAAUGCAAAAUAAAGUCGAGGAUGGAGAGAUCCUUUUAGUCGGACUCUUUGGCCCCGCUAACCUCCGCCAGCAGCCUGGGGAGUCCGCGCCCUCCCGCCAAGAAGGGAAGGGCCAGAAAUCGGCAGUGGCCCGGGGAAAUCGCACGGAGAAGGGAGGAGAGCGUGGGGAAGGCAGUACGGCCUGGUGAGGAGGGGGAAGGGGCACGCGGCGGGUAGAGGUGGAGCGGCUACGGGAGAGGGAGCCUAAAUGCCGGCGAGGAUGGGUGGAGUCAAGGGGAGGGGUGGUCCGCCCCCAGGGCUCGAAGCUCCCAGACGGAGAGGGAGCCAAGCCAAGCCCGGAAUGUCCCUUCAGGGGCGCCGUCCGGGCGGACAAAGGCGGCGCAGAGGCGGAAGCAACUAUGGGUAUGAAAACCAGAUGGAGCAGUUAAGUGGCAGAGUGAAGAGAGUACUUGCCUUGCAGUCAGGAGGACCUGAGUUCAAAUGGGGUUUCAGAUACUUACUAACUGUAUGACCUUGGGCUAUGCUACUGAUUCCUCCAGAAAGCUCUUCGUCCUGGAAGAUCACUGCAGCCCUGGAGGUCAUAUCUCAGAAAUACCCUUAGUCCCUGUGGCCCCUCCCCAUGUUAUGCCACAGUUUCCUUUAAUUGUCCUGCCUCGAUUUCCCUGAACUGUUCUGCCUCAAUUUCCCUAAAAUGUUCUACUUCAGUUUCCCUGAAUUGUUCUGCCUCAGUCCCCCUGGUUGCAACCCUCCUUCCUGACUAUUAGGACUGAUAUAAGUUAGGACCAUCUACUCUAGGGUCAUAAACUGUAAAUAUUUAAUCUCAGAUAAAGGGGAAAUCUUCUAUUUCAGAUAUCCUGGCUCCUAAAUCCUCCUAAGUUAUCAAGAAUCUAUGGUCCUUACUCCCAAUCAGUCAGAACCAAAUUUAUGGUCUGUUCCUGGAAAUUCCCGUUCACCAAUGCCCCAUCCACCCUUGCUUUUAUUUCCCUGAUAACUGGAGUCUUAUAAAAAUCCCUGGAAUUCUUCAUUCACUACUGGAUUCUUUGAGAUGCAAGUCUAAUCCAAUCAAUUAAUCUAAGUUCUCUGAAAAAAUAUUAAAACUCUCUAAUGUCUAUCUUGCCUCAGUUUCUCCGGCAUCACACCCUGAUCCUUUAAGGAGAUUAUCUAUACUAUGGACUUCAUCAUUCCCCCAAACAAAGUAUCUUCCUCCCUAGUUCCCUCAUUUUCUAGUUUCCAAAUUUAUAUCUCAUCUUCCCUCUAUAGGAUGUAAGCUCCUUGAGGGCAGGAACUGUUUCCUUUUACUGAUAUUUCCAAAACUUACCAUAGUACUUGGCCCAUAAAAAAUAUUUGCUGUAUUUUUGCCCGCCUGCAUUUUUUAUUUCCUUCAAAGGCUAACAAUAUUUCGGAGUCCGAUUCUUUUUGUACAGCAAAAUAAUAGUUUGGACAUGUAUAUUUAUUUUGUAUUUAAUUUAUACUCUAAUAUAUUUAAUAUGUAUUGGUCAUCCUGCCAUCUAGGGGAGGGGUCAGGGGAAGGAGGGGAAAAAUUGGAACAAAAGGUUUGGUAAUUGGCAAUGCUGUAAAAUUACCCAUGCAUAUAACUUGUAAAUAAAAAACUAUUGAAAAAACAUUUGUUGACUGAAUAACCCAAUUAAAAAUGGAAUAUAAUGAGCACAGAGUAGUACUUGAAAACUUAUAUGAACUGAUACAAGGUACAAUAAGCAGAGCCAGGAAAAGAAUAUAGACAAUAACUGUAAUAGAAUGGUAUAAAAUUAUAUAAUAGCCAAACUUAGCCCCAAAGAAGAGAUAUGAGAAUGUAUCUCUUCUGACAGGGGAGGGUGGGGAGGCUAUAGGUAUAAAAUACUAUAUUUAAUGGUAGCUUUUAAAAAAAAUAUACAUAUUGAUUUUGCUGAAAUGAUUUUUUCUUCUUUUAAAAUUCUUUGUUGCAAAAGUUUGCUCUCUGGGAAGGGAAAAAGGAAAGGUUUCAUUGGGAUAAAAACAAAAAGUAUCAAUAAAAUUUAUUUUUAA